AACGAACGCUGGCGGCAUGCCUAACACAUGCAAGUCGAACGAGACCUUCGGGUCUAGUGGCGCACGGGUGCGUAACACGUGGGAAUCUGCCCCUUGGUUCGGAAUAACACAGAGAAAUUUGUGCUAAUACCGGAUGAUGACGAAAGUCCAAAGAUUUAUCGCCAAGGGAUGAGCCCGCGUAAGAUUAGGUAGUUGGUGGGGUAAAGGACUACCAAGCCGACGAUCUUUAGCUGGUCUGAGAGGAUGAUCAGCCACACUGGGACUGAGACACGGCCCAGACUCCUACGGGAGGCAGAAGUGGGGAAUAUUGGACAAUGGGCGAAAGCCUGAUCCAGCAAUGCCGCGUGAGUGAUGAAGGCCCUCGGGUCGUAAAGCUCUUUUACCAGGGAUGAUAAUGACAGUACCUGGAGAAUAAGCUCCGGCUAACUCCGUGCCAGCCGCCGUCGUAAUAC
rnacentral:rRNA from 1 species